AGAUUGAACGCUGGCGGCAUGCCUUACACAUGCAAGUCGAACGGUAGAGUAGCAAUACUUGAGAGUGGCGAACGGGUGAGUAAUAUAUCGGAACGUGCCCAGUCGUGGGGGAUAACGUAGAGAAAUUUACGCUAAUACCGCAUACGAUCUAAGGAUGAAAGCGGGGGACUCGCAAGAGCCUCGCGCGAUUGGAGCGGCUGAUAUCAGAUUAGGUUGUUGGUGAGGUAAAAGCUCACCAAGCCGACGAUCUGUAGCUGGUUUGAGAGAACGACCAGCCACACUGGGACUGAGACACGGCCCAGACUCCUACGGGAGGCAGCAGUGGGGAAUUUUGGACAAUGGGCGAAAGCCUGAUCCAGCAAUGCCGCGUGCAGGAAGAAGGCCUUCGGUUGUAAACUGCUUUUUGUACGGAACGAACGUCUGCGUUUAAUACAGCGAUAAUGACGGUACG
rnacentral:rRNA from 1 species